AGCCUUAGAAUGAAGUUUUCAUAAAAGAAAAACUAUUCUUUGAAGUUGAUGCUGACAUACCUUCCAGCUUUUACGUGAACAGAAAUGCACCAUGGCUGUAUGGUGGUCAUUUUUGUUUCAAUGUCUGCAGACUCUGUAAUGAUGCCCCUUCUUUCAUUCCUGGAAGAUAACCACAGGAUGGGUCUCUGCACCAACUACGCCUACUGUCAGAAAUCAGAACAAUUCACCUAAGAAUAUGCACCAAGAGGAAGAGGCGUGAUGUUCUCCAAGCUGCUGAAUCACACAUUUCCUUCUGAACUCCUGUUAUUCAUGCUGAAAGCAAAUCUCUUACGUAAGC